rnacentral:lncRNA from 1 species
GUCUAUGAAGAGAAUAUCUGGCUGAAGUUCAAACUAUUUCAAAUUUAGUGAAGGAAAUAUUAACAAUUUAAAAGUGUAUGUUUUAGCAGAAGAGCUAUAUCAAGAGGUUUCUUGUAUGAGAUUACAUCCCCUUAUAAAAACAAAAGCUUUUAUGCUACUUAUGGAUAAACCAAACAUGACUAAAGCUUUAAUGACUUGCCCUCCUGAUCGGCGUAGUUUUUUCAUGACCAAUCU